CACGUAGGGGCCAAGCGUUGUCCGGAUUUAUUGGGCGUAAAGAGCUCGUAGGCGGUUCAGCAAGUCGGGUGUGAAAACUCUGGGCUCAACCCAGAGACGCCACCCGAUACUGCUGUGACUAGAGUCCGGUAGGGGAGUGGGGAAUUCCUGGUGUAGCGGUGAAAUGCACAGAUAUCAGGAGGAACACCAGUGGCGAAGGCGCCACUCUGGGCCGGUACUGACGCUGAGGAGCGAAAGCGUGGGUAGCAAACAGG
rnacentral:rRNA from 1 species